AGUGAGGAUAAGUGGAUCCUCACAUGCCUUGUCAUUAUCAAAUAAAAUACGCCUUAUCAUUUCCGAAAAAACCCAAUCCCUAACCCCGAAAUCCAUUUCAUUCUUCACGUCUGUACGGGAAAAUCGCAAGAAUUGGCAAAACCCAAAAACAUGUCCCAAGCCAUAACCCCAAAUCCAUUUCGAAAAUCCAUCUUUAGGUUUGUGUCAAAUGAAGUUUGAAUCCACUUCCGCCCAAAGACAGUAAUAAUGAAAGUUUCAGCUUUUGUGGUUACUUUGAUCGAAUAUGAAGUCCACUUGACUGAAGAAGUCGGUGGGUAUUUAAUAUGGGCGUGGAGAAUUGAAUCGAGACUUUGGACGUAGACUGAAGGUGGUAAGGUGUGGAAGGAAUUUCUAGUAAGAAAUAUAAAGAAAUGAAACUGUUGCUAUGUUACAUGUUCGAGGACAAUAACGCAAGGCUUUACCUUUUCAGUGACUGCAUGAAGACUGGAGAUUUGAAAUUCUCAAUUCAUGAUGUUUAUUACAAUACAGACAUUUCAUACGUUCCUCUUGAUGUUGUGAAAUCUUCUCAGAGAUCUCUAUCCAUUUGUUACAAAACUUGUCUAUUGCCACCAGGUAAACUCCGCUCCCAAAAUGACAUCAAUGACGAAGGCAUAGAAAGCCUGGGCACAACUUGUCGAAAUGCCCAACAAAGAACAGAACAAGAAGGCUUGGGAUAUCCAUCAAUAUAACGUUCCGCAAGGAAAAAGGAGCAACAGAGGAGAGCGAGAAAGGAAAGGGAAGAUCUACAUGAAUCUGUUACAUCUAUGUAAUUGAGUAAAGGGCUUAUGUUGUAGCAGUCAAACUCCAUGUCUAUGUAAUCGAUUCUUAAUUUGGCAUAAAUUAUGUUCGGUGUACCUUUAUGUUUUUUGGUUAUGAAUUGAAGUCUUGUAUGAUACGUUUGAUAAGCCUAGUUAGUAAAUUAUGCUUGAUAUGUAAAUCAUGGAUACUAUCUGACAUGGGAUUGCUUGCAUUCGUUUC